rnacentral:lncRNA from 1 species
UGCGUACAUCUUACCAUCCCCAGACCUCACUGUGUGCGAAUACACUGAAUUUAUUGUUGUUGUUGUUAAAUUUUAUUGAAAAGGCAAAAUCUUUUAGAAAUCAGCAAGAUUGAUUGAUGAAAAGGAAUAAAGGAGGGAGAGGUCACCUUUUUCAGUCGAUGUGAAUGAAAAAUGACUGAUUGGAGGCUAUUACACUUGAAUCUGUUGGUUUGAAGGGCUAAGCGUCCUUAGAACAUGAAGGUCCAUGAACUUUACCAUCUUUUCCGGAAGAUGCAGAGUCUUGGGCUCUGCUCUGCUUCAACAAGAAGUGACGGGCGAGGGUGAUAGAGAGGAUAGGAGAGAAAGAGGUAAAAACCACUGGAUUUUUCAUUACCUGAUAAUCAGUGUUGUUCGGUUUCGAUAUUGAUGAAGACGUCGUUGUUGAAAUCGUUGGAUAUGGUUGUGUGCUGUUGUUACUGAUGGUAUUGCUGGUGUUGAAUUGUUG